CCUACGGGAGGCAGCAGUGAGGAAUAUUGGUCAAUGGGCGAGAGCCUGAACCAGCCAAGUCGCGUGAGGGAGUACUGCCCUAUGGGUUGUAAACCUCUUUUGUCGGGGAGCAAAAGCCGGACGUGUCCGGCUGUGAGAGUACCCGAAGAAAAAGCAUCGGCUAACUCCGUGCCAGCAGCCGCGGUAAUACGGAGGAUGCGAGCGUUAUCCGGAUUUAUUGGGUUUAAAGGGUGCGCAGGCGGAUUUUUAAGUCAGCGGUAAAAUCGUGGGGUUCAACCCCAUCCAGCCGUUGAAACUGGGGAUCUAGAGUGUGUGAGAGGUAUGCGGAAUGCGUGGUGUAGCGGUGAAAUGCAUAGAUAUCACGCAGAACCCCGAUGGCGAAGGAAGCAUACCGGUGCACAACUGACGCUCAGGCACGAAAGCGUGGGUAUCGAACAGGAUUAGAUACCCCAGAAGUC
rnacentral:rRNA from 1 species